CCGCGAGAGCGAAUCGGACGAACAAUGAGAAGAGGAGGCCGCGCGAUCGCGCGGCCUCCUCUUCUCGUCUGCGGAUGCGCUGGUCAGG
rnacentral:pre_miRNA from 1 species